GGAUCCAGACUUUGAUUAUGGCUCAGGAUGAACGCUAGCUACAGGCUUAACACAUGCAAGUCGAGGGGAAACGAUAUUGGAAGCUUGCUUCCGAUAGGCGUCGACCGGCGCACGGGUGAGUAACGCGUAUCCAACCUGCCCAUCGCUUGGGGAUAACCUUGCGAAAGUAAGAUUAAUACCCAAUGAUAUCUCAAGAAGACAUCUGAAUGAGAUUAAAGAUUCAUCGGUGAUGGAUGGGGAUGCGUCUGAUUAGCUUGUUGGCGGGGUAACGGCCCACCAAGGCGACGAUCAGUAGGGGUUCUGAGAGGAAGGUCCCCCACAUUGGAACUGAGACACGGUCCAAACUCCUACGGGAGGCAGCAGUGAGGAAUAUUGGUCAAUGGGCGAGAGCCUGAACCAGCCAAGUAGCGUGCAGGAAGACGGCCCUAUGGGUUGUAAACUGCUUUUAUAAGGGAAUAAAGUGAGCCUCGUGAGGCUUUUUGCAUGUACCUUAUGAAUAAGGACCGGCUAAUUCCGUGCCAGCAGCCGCGGUAAUACGGAAGGUCCGGGCGUUAUCCGGAUUUAUUGGGUUUAAAGGGAGCGUAGGCCGGAGAUUAAGCGUGUUGUGAAAUGUAGAUGCUCAACAUCUGCACUGCAGCGCGAACUGGUUUCCUUGAGUACGCACAAAGUGGGCGGAAUUCGUGGUGUAGCGGUGAAAUGCUUAGAUAUCACGAAGAACUCCGAUUGCGAAGGCAGCUCACUGGAGCGCAACUGACGCUGAAGCUCGAAAGUGCGGGUAUCGAACAGGAUUAGAUACCCUGGUAGUCCGCACGGUAAACGAUGGAUGCCCGCUGUUGGUCUGAAUAGGUCAGCGGCCAAGCGAAAGCAUUAAGCAUCCCACCUGGGGAGUACGCCGGCAACGGUGCAACUCAAAUGAAUUGACGG
rnacentral:rRNA from 1 species